rnacentral:misc_RNA from 1 species
AAACAAAAGCCUUCGCUUCGCUUCACCACUCUAUCGCUCCACGGCCGGCCACAGCUAGCUGCGUGCUGUCCUGGGGGAGCAGCAGCAGCUUCGGCGGGAGGGGAAAGGAGCUACGAUGGAGAGGUUGGGCGUCGGCGUCGGCGUCGGCGAGCUGCCGCCGGGGUUCCGCUUCCACCCGACGGACGAGGAGCUGAUCACCUACUACCUCCUCUGCAAGGCCGUGGACGGCGGCUUCUGCGGCGGCCGCGCCAUCGCGGAGAUCGACCUGAACAAGUGCGAGCCAUGGGAGCUCCCGGACAAGGCGAAGAUGGGGGAGAAGGAGUGGUACUUCUACUGCCUCCGCGACCGCAAGUACCCGACGGGCCUGCGCACCAACCGCGCCACGGCGGCCGGCUACUGGAAGGCCACCGGCAAGGACCGCGAGGUCCGCAGCGGCCGCAGCGGCGCGCUGGUGGGCAUGAAGAAGACGCUCGUCUUCUACCGGGGCCGCGCCCCCAGGGGCCAGAAGACGCGCUGGGUCAUGCACGAGUACCGCCUCGACGGCACCUACGCCUACCAUUUCCUUCCCGGCUCUACGAGGGACGAGUGGGUGAUCGCGAGGGUGUUCCAGAAGCCAGGCGAGGUCCCAUGCGGCCGCAAGCACCGCCUGGGCGGCCCCAGCGCCGCCGCCGGCGAGUCCUGCUUCUCGGACUCCACCACCUCGGCCUCCAUCGGCGGCGGCGGCGGAGGAGGAGCGUCCGCGUCGUCUCGCCCGCUGCUCACCGUCACGGACACUUCCUCGCCGUCGCUGUUCGUGGCCAACGCGAACGCCGCCGCCAGCAACAACAACGGCAACCCGGUCACCGGGCGAGAGCUCGUGCCCUGCUUCUCCACUACCGCCAGUCCCCUGGAAGCCGCGGCGCUCGGCGUCGUCGGGCACCCGUACAACGCGGCCCCGCUGCGUCUGGGCUUGGACUUCGAGGCGCCGUCCCCGGGCUUCGUCGUCCCGAACCUGCGUUCCCUGCAAGUGCAGGACGACGGCGGCCUGCCGCUGUUCCUCUCGGCAGCAGCAGGCGGCGGCAUGUCGUCCGCGACGCUGGGAAUAAUGGGGUCGCUGGGCGGGUCUCUCCACUGCCCGCCCCACGCCGGCAUGGAUGUCGUCAAGGUCGAGGGCCGCGCCGCGCCGCCGCAGAUGGCUGUCGGCCCCGGCCUCCUCGAUGGCGCCUUCGCCUGGGGCUUCUAGUGCUCACUGCUCAGGCGCUGCACGCCGCCGUGGCAUAUGGGCAUGCAUGCAUCACCAGCAAACCGAUGGAUAUAUAUAUGCCUCUCCACAUGCAUGUGGUAGUUCGUGGUUUCUCUGCAUGCGUUGUACGUUAAGCUUCGUUAGUAAGUGGAAGUGGCAGAGAGUCGUCGUUUAUGUACGCUAUUAAGCUUGAUUAGUAUCAGGAUGUGGCUGACCGACCCUCCAUGCAUGGGCACUCCAAACUGUAGCCUUCCAGCAGCUUUGUUCGUGG